GGGCCCGCACAAGCGGUGGAGCAUGUGGUUUAAUUCGAUGAUACGCGAGGAACCUUACCAGGACUUAAAUGUAAGUUGCAUGAUUCAGAAAUGAAUCUUUCUUCGGACUACUUACAAGGUGCUGCAUGGUUGUCGUCAGCUCGUGCCGUGAGGUGUCAGGUUAAGUCCUAUAACGAGCGCAACCCCUAUCGUUAGUUGCCAUCAAGUAAAGUUGGGAACUCUAACGGGACUGCCGGUGCAAACCGCGAGGAAGGUGGGGAUGACGUCAAAUCAUCACGGCCCUUACGUCCUGGGCUACACACGUGCUACAAUGGCCGGUACAGAGGGCAGCCACACCGCAAGGUGGAGCGAAUCCUUAAAACCGGUCUCAGUUCGGAUCGGAGUCUGCAACUCGACUCCGUGAAGCUGGAAUC
rnacentral:rRNA from 1 species